GCCAGGCAUGGUGGCACAUGCCUGUAAUCCCAGUGGCUGGGGGACUGAGGCAGGAGGAUCAGGAGUUCAAAGCCAGCCUCAGCAAAAGUGAGGCACUAAGCAACUCAAUGAGACCUUGUCUCUA
rnacentral:sRNA from 1 species